rfam:Gossypium hirsutum cultivar TM-1 chromosome 23, whole genome shotgun sequence
UGUUAAUAUUUUAUACAUUUUUAUUAUUAAAAACUAACGUAAUUGAAGAAAUAAUCAAAUAAUAACAUGUGGCAUGUUACGUGUCUCUUUUGUUGAUGUACAAAGACUGGGUUUUAACAAUAAAAAUUCAUGAAAUUUUAAUU